CCUACGGGAGGCAGCAGUAGGGAAUCUUCCACAAUGGGCGAAAGCCUGAUGGAGCAAUGCCGCGUGGGUGAAGAAGGUCUUCGGAUCGUAAAACACUGUUGUUAGAGAAGAAAGUGCGUGAGAGUAACUGUUCACGUUUCGACGGUAUCUAACCAGAAAGCCACGGCUAACUACGUGCCAGCAGCCGCGGUACUCCGUAGGGUGCAAGCGUUAUCCGGAUUUAUUGGGCGUAAAGGGAACGCAGGCGGUUUUUUAAGUCUGAUGUGAAAGCCUUGGGCUUAACCGGAGUAUUGCAUUGGAUACUGGGAGACUUGAGUGCAGAAGAGGGGGGUAGAACUCCAUGUGUAGCGGUGAAAUGCGUAGAUAUGUGGAAGAACACCAGUGGCGAAAGCGGCUCUCUGGUCUGUAACUGACGCUGAGGUUCGAAAGCGUGGGUAGCAAACAGGAUUAGAUACCCCAGUAGUC
rnacentral:rRNA from 1 species